rnacentral:rRNA from 1 species
GAGUUGAUCCCUGGCUCAGGACGAACGCUGGCGGCGUGCCUACACCAUGCAAGUCGAGCGAAUGAAGUUCCUUCGGGAACGGAUUUAGCGGCGGACGGGUGAGUAACACGUGGGCAACCCGCUUCAUAGAGGGGAAUAGCCUUCCGAAAGGGAGAUUAAUACCGCAUAAGAUUGUAGUACCGCAUGGUACAGCAAUUAAAGGAGCAAUCCGCUAUGAGAUGGGCCCGCGGCGCAUUAGCUAGUUGGUGAGGUAACGGCUCACCAAGGCGACGAUGCGUAGCCGACCUGAGAGAGUGAACGGCCACAUUGGGACUGAGACACGGCCCAAACUCCUACGGGAGGCAGCAGUGGGGAAUAUUGCACAAUGGGGGAAACCCUGAUGCAGCGACGCCGCGUGAGUGAUGAAGUAUUUCGGUACGUAAAGCUCUAUCAGCAGGGAAGAUAAUGACGGUACCUGACUAAGAAGCUCCGGCUAAAUACGUGCCAGCAGCCGCGGUAAUACGGAGGGUGCAAGCGUUAAUCGGAAUAACUGGGCGUAAAGGGCAUGCAGGCGGUCGGACAAGUAGGAUGUGAAAUCCUGGGGCUCAACCUCAGAACUGCAUUCUAAACUGUCCGACUAGAGUAUUGCAGGGGGAGACGGAAUUUCAGGUGUAGCGGUGGAAUGCGUAGAUAUCUGAAAGAACACCAAAGGCGAAGGCAGUCUCCUGGGCAAAUACUGACGCUCAUAUGCGAAAGCGUGGGUAGCAAACAGGAUUAGAUACCCUGGUAGUCCACGCCGUAAACGAUGUCAAUUAGGAGCUUGGACUUAAGUCUGGGUUCCGUAGCAAACGCAAUAAAU